UUGACCCCAACCUCUGAAGGAGGAAUCAGACCUGGAGAAAAGUUCCUGCAAUUCAAAGAAAUAAAGUGGCAACUUCUGGGAGAAGAAUGUUGAAACUCAAACCUGGAUUUCCAGCCUGAGUGUCCAUCAGGCCUUGAUAACCAAGCUGCACCAGGAAGAUGAGCAAUAACUGCAUUGCCAUGUGCCAGGGACCAAUGGGCAGAACACCCUGCAGGGGCCUCAGAAGGCUCCCAGCUUGCCUGGUAUCCAUGAAUCCAAAUGGAAAAGAGAAAACGGCAAAUGACACUCAAUCCCAAAGUGAGCCAAGCUGUCCUUGUACCCAGAGAAACAACUGACAGCUGACACACGAUGGGACCUGCAGGGAUUUCUGCAGGAGCAAAGGCUCCUCUGGGGAAGAUUAAAGCUCAGUGCAAACCCCAAGGUCACCUCUACAUGAGCAGUGGGAAGGGAACAGGGUAAAACUUGGGAUCACCUGAGCUUGCUGGCAUCCAGCAGGGUUGGGGUUUAUUGCACUGGAGAUUCCACAAAGCUUUCACCCACCAGGAGCUCUUGGCUCUGCAGAGUCUGAUGGAUAUCCUGAAAAAUUUUGGAGUGACAUUUUGGAGGGUAGCUGGCAAAACACGAGCCAGCAAGACAUUGUAGAAAGAUGAAUUCAUAAGCAGAAAGUUUUAGAGAGGGUACUUGAGGAUGAAAGAGUGGUUCCACCAACCUUCACCAUUCAUUUAUUUAAAUUUAUGCUACAAAAUGGACAGCAGAGGAAAGUCAAAACUUGCACUGAUGAUUUUUCAUUCUCUUCCCCCCACUGCCCCUGAUCUUUUAUUUAUGAAACUGGUCUGGGUGCACCUUUCAAAUGACUUUUUUUGGCUUACUGUUUAUUACGUCUUCAUCAGCCUUGAAAUGGCAGCUGCAGGCAGCUUGAUAAAUGGAUGGAAAAGCUGCUUCUGCCAGAGUCAAACUAACAAAAACCCCUCAGCAUCCAUAAGGCUUUUUGUUUUAGCAUUUCUAAAACAAGCACUAUUUCCCUCAAAGCAUCACUGAAGAGUGAUGCUCCAGUAGCCCUGAGUGUUUCAACAAAGGGAUUUUUUAAUCCAGUGAUGCCCAGGGCAGAAGUUCCUCACUGGGUCAUGGACAGGACUCAGCCUGCAGCUCUGGAGAGCAAGGGCAGAGAAAGAGAGAGAGAGACAGGGAGAGAGAGAGAGAGAUGUGGUCUUAGGAAGGCUGAGAAAAUCACUCCAAAAUGUGCUGGGCAGAUCAAUGGAGUAAAUGAGGCAAAAUGUAUGAAGUUGGGUCCUGCUCACAGAGACUUGCAGCUUUCAUGCAGCUAUUUUUUACCCAGAUACUUUCUGAACUCUUCAUUUCCUCCCAAUCCUUCUUUAAAUAUGAACAGCUCAAUACAUCCCUGCUUCAAACCUUUUGUCCUUAGCACAUUUAUAUUCCACAGCUGGCCCAGCCUGGCAGUAAACAAGGGUUUAGCUACUGUGGCUUAUUGACAGUGGUAGAUGGUUCAGUCCCAUCUGUGAAGGUAUAAAAUACCCACAAGAAAAUAAAUACCCCAUAAGAAUGUGGUAAGGAACCAUCCAGGUGAAAACCUGUCAUGUUAUCUGCUGCAGCUUACAGCACAAAUGUUGCAGCAAAGAAGGGAGACAGGGGAAAUCCACCACCACAAAAACCAACCAACCAACCAACCAACCAACCAAUAACAUAAAAAAAAAAGAAACAAAAAAAACCAAAAAAAAACCCCCAAGAAACCUGAAAGGAAUGAAAACAUGUGGCUUGUGAGAGGAAGGAAGAGCUCUAGUGGUGAGUACUGCAGGCAGAAUGACAGAGGCUUGUGCUCUGUUCCUCACUAAGGUUGUUUGAGCUCUACAUGCAAGGAAAGAAUGUGAAUCUCCCCUGGCCUGAGCUGUUGGUGUGGAAUUUGCCACCGUGGAUCCCCCUGACAACCACUCCUGACACACUUUCCAGAGAGGUGGCAGCACUGCAAGGACACCUGAUGGGCUCUGCCAAAGUUAAUAAUCUUAUUUCCUUUCUCCUUACCAUUGCCUGCCUGGGUUCUGACUGUCCCUGACUGUCUCUGGCUGUCCCUGUCUGUCCCUGGCUGUCUCUGUCUGUGUCACCCAGGGGCUGCCAAGGUCCUGGCUGCUUAGGGACACAUGUUCCCAGCAGUGAUUCCAGUGCCAUGGCCACUCUGUGAGUUUUCUUUCCUAAUUAUGGGGAGCCACUCUCACUGAGUUAUUGCAGUCACCCAACCCUGUCUCUUUUUUCCUGUCUGCUGCAGUCCCUCUUGAGAGCUGCCUGGAUUCAGGGAGAGUUUUGCUGUUCCUUGAGGCAGGAGAUCUCUCCUCAUCCUUAGUGCAGCACCUUAGUGCACUUUCUGCUAGUGAGGAGUCACUUGGUGGAUUUUUGGAAGAGGUGUCCUGGCUGGCUGAUAGCUACUGGAGCUCCAACAGAAGGAAGAAGAUGUUUCCUGUGCCAGUGGAGAACUUCUGACUGUGAUUUGGAAUGAGCUCUUGGUGUCCUGCACAUGAACAUUUGGGGAAUGUCCAUCUUCUGCCGCUCACAUGGAAUCAGAGGGAGAAACAAGAAGGAUUUCUGG